UGCUCAUGGUGAGGAAGGACUUGUGUUGGAAACAACAGCCUGAGUCUAAUAGACAAACUCUUCCAGAAUCCAUGGAAGCGGCUGACUCACCGUGCAGCGCAGACCCCAUCAAGGCCAUCGUGCAGUUCGCCGCUGGAGCUCCGACCGGUGACACCGUCCACAUCCUCUUGUGAACCAGUUGAAGCUUGUACUUCUACGCCUCCUCUGCGCAGUUUUGCGUCGAAAACGAAGGACAUCAUAAGGCGUCUCCAAGCCAAGGUUUCAAAGUACCGGAAGACCAUCGCAAGGCUGCGCAAGCAAGAGAAGAAUAUGCCUCGAUCAGCUUCGGAAGCUCUCGACAUCAUUCGCCCUCACGUGACAGACGAGUUAUUUCACCUACUGUCAAGCCAUGUUAAAUUAAUAUCCAAGGGCAAGGGAAAACGAUUCCCGUUAUGGUUGAAAAAGUUUGCUCUUCAUCUCGAAUUCCGUGGACCGCGGAAUUCGAGAUGUUUUGCAGGAUUCGAUUAUGAUGAAAAAUUUUUUGCAGGAUUCAAUUGUGCUGACAUGUCCGUUUCGUAAAUAGAAACUUGGAUAAAGUUUCCUUUCAUUCUCGCGUCUCUGGUGUACAGCUUGAAAAGUUCAGUGGGUAGGACUUCAUUCUGGAGAUGUGUUUCAGCCCUUAUGUUGCAUUUCAUAAGAUACCUGCAAGAGUAAAAUUAAUAUUAUUGGGAUUUUAUUGGGCCGUGCAGACUGCACACUAGGCAUUUGUUGGGAUUAUUUGCAGCAAGUAGGUUGCAUUCUACUGGUCUACUGUAGUGACUGCUUUUUUAGAUGGUCGUGUCUGUGUUUCUCUAUUAUGGCCAUGUGGAAUGUGUAAGUUCCCAUUUUGAUCUUUUUUAAUACUCUCUGAGGUCUUUCAUCUUGGACGCAACUUUCUUUUCUUUUGGACAUUGUUUCUGCUUUACACAUAUGUGAAGCGUGAAGGAGAUUGAGUUCAGAGUGUCUACCAACCUGGGCAAGCUUGAAAUUCUCAGGGAAUUUUAGAUCACCUGGAAAAGUCAAGGAAUUAUCAGGGAAACUGUCAAAAGGUUGACUAAAUCAGGGAAAGUGACCGGUGAAAGUGGCACGGUGGUGCGGAACGAAGCCCGGCGAUCGGGUGUCGCCACAGCUGUGCUGAAUAACAUUGCCCAAAAUGGUAUCCUUCGAAGGAAGAAACAGCCAAGGAAUUUUAUCAAAAUAGUCAAGGAAAACCUUGAAAAAUCAUGGACUUUGGAAAAAGUCAUCUGGUAGACACCCUGUAGGAUGUACUUAAUUAGGCAGUGCAGAUUGCAUGCCAAGCCUUUGCUGGAAUCAUUUGUGAUGAGUGGGUCGCAGGUACACCGGUCACCAGUCUGCUUGUAGCAGUCUUUUGUCAGCCAUUUCAUAUGUGCUUUUUAUGGCAGUGGUUAUGUUAAACCUUACAUGUUAAAUGUGAGAUGUUAAACGUGACAUGAACAUAAAACUUGCAUUAGUCCGUCGGUUGACAUUCAGUUCUUGUUAUUUUGAUCAUUAUUGUUACUUAAAUCAGCAGGAGCAAGGUAUGUUUAAUUGUGCAUUGCACGCUGUGUUAGGGUUAUUUAAUGACUAUGUCACAGACUAAAUAGGUCUAUACUAGUGGCAAUCUCAUUUAGGCAUUUACUUGUCUGUUUUUGUUUUUCUUUUCUCAUUGUGGUCAUCGUGCAUCUCAGAAUUCUUCUGCUAAACUUUCUAUUAGCAUACAAAAUGCAUUGGAUCAACGAGCUUUGAUACUGCAUGGCCAUUUUUGUUUUUGUGUUUGUUGCUGAUGCUGCAUAUGUUAUAUGUGUGUGUGCGCCUUCCAUGGAACUUGCUUGAGAAUACAAAACCGACUUUCAAUCCAAUUACAGUUGUAAUUUCAGUUGUUUGGUAAGACUUUUAUGCAUGCCAUAAUAUGCUUGUCGUUUUUUGUAGGAUGUACUGUUUGUGAAUCCUUGAUACACGGUGCUUGUGUUCUGUAGUUUUUGUAUUAUAUACGAGGCACUAACUGCCCAUCAUAUUUCUUUUUUUGCGAAAAUAAACUCUGUUGAUUACUCCCUG